UCAACAUUAACAGUCACGUAUCUGAAAGUGAGCCAAGAUGUGACGAUAAUAUUUAUCCAAUACUUGAGAAGGCAGGCAACUGAAAUAGAGAGAGAAGGGGGGGGGGGGAAGAAAUUGGCUGCCAAUAUUGAACAAACUAACAGGUGGAACAUUUGUUAAUCUACAACAGUUUGAUUGCAAGUAUUUAGUAAAUGUAGCUGUGAGAAGUAGAGCUCAUGU